rnacentral:rRNA from 1 species
CACGCCGUAAACGAUGAUCACUCGUGAUUGGCGAUAUACGGUCAGUCACCUAGCGAAAGCGUUAAGUGAUCCACCUGGGGAGUACGAUCGCAAGAUUGAAACUCAAAGGAAUUGACGGGGGCCCGCACAAGCGGUGGAGCAUGUGGUUUAAUUCGAUGAUACGCGAGGAACCUUACCAGGGCUCGAACGCACGUUGACAGGGGUGGAAACAUCCUCUUCUUCGGACAACGUGCGAGGUGC